rnacentral:rRNA from 1 species
GAUGAACGCUGGCGGCGUGCCUAAUACAUGCAAGUCGAGCGAACAGACGAGGAGCUUGCUCCUCUGACGUUAGCGGCGGACGGGUGAGUAACACGUGGAUAACCUACCUAUAAGACUGGGAUAACUUCGGGAAACCGGAGCUAAUACCGGAUAAUAUAUUGAACCGCAUGGUUCAAUAGUGAAAGACGGUUUUGCUGUCACUUAUAGAUGGAUCCGCGCCGCAUUAGCUAGUUGGUAAGGUAACGGCUUACCAAGGCAACGAUGCGUAGCCGACCUGAGAGGGUGAUCGGCCACACUGGAACUGAGACACGGUCCAGACUCCUACGGGAGGCAGCAGUAGGGAAUCUUCCGCGAUGGGCGAAAGCCUGACGGAGCACGCCGCGUGAGUGAUGAAGGUCUUCGGAUCGUAAAACUCUGUUAUUAGGGAAGAACAAAUGUGUAAGUAACUAUGCACGUCUUGACGGUACCUAAUCAGAAAGCCACGGCUAACUACGU